GGCUCUUGGCGGUGGAUCACUCGGCUCGUGAGUCGAUGAAGGACGCAGCUAGCUGCGUGAUUUAGUGUGAAUUGCAGGACACAUUGAGCAUCGACGAUCUGAACGCGAAUUGCGGCCUCGGGUUAAUCCCGGGACCGCGCCCGGCAAUCAGGGUCG
rfam:Ciona savignyi cont_63197, whole genome shotgun sequence.